GUGCCAGCCGCCGCGGUAAUACCGGCAGCCCGAGUGAUGGCCGAUCUUAUUGGGCCUAAAGCGUCCGUAGCUGGCUGCGCAAGUCCGUCGGGAAAUCCACUCGCCCAACGAGUGGGCGUCCGACGGAAACUGCACAGCUUGGGAUCGGAAGGCUCGAAGGGUACGUUCGGGGUAGGAGUGAAAUCCCAUAAUCCUGGACGGACCACCGGUGGCGAAAGCGCCUCAGAAAGACGGACCCGACGGUGAGGAACGAAAGCCAGGGUCUCGAACCGGAUUAGAUACCCCGGUAGUCC
rnacentral:rRNA from 1 species